UAAUAUGGGAUCAUUAAUUAGGGGAAAAGCUUCCUUAAACAGUCUAGUGGGAAUUGGGUCAGACACGUUGGCAGGUGUGAUGGGGCCCUCCAUCCUGACAGAAGCAGCAGCAGCAGCAGAAUUAGCAGCAGCAGGCCUGCAUCCUGGUCGCAGAAUAGGAGCCUGUCCUCUAUUUGGAGGGAGAAAUAACUGGAUGUUUGGUCCAGAUGUGGAUUGUCACAUCUCCACAUUCUCCAACCUCAUCUAUUUUUUGGAGUUGGAAGCUGUGAAUCAGCAACGGUCCGGUGGACUCAAUCCCUCAUUUCUUGGUUUUUCUGCCCCUGCUGCAACCUGAAAUGAAUCAAGGGUAUUAUGUUAAUGUUUUGACAAAGUCAGAGGAAUGAAAGAAAACAAGGAGCCGUGCUUAUACCACUGACUGAGCUCAAACAGCUGUUCUGUGGCUCCCACAGGAACAGGGCCGGCUAAAGAAGAUGUCUGGUGAGGCGGGAGGCUGAGUGGGAACCAGAGCGGGCUGAGGAGGACUCCACCAAAGCUUCAGCUGUGACACCAGUUCUGCCUUGCUGUUUUAGUGGCUCAGCUUUGAAAAGUCACUUCCCAAUCCAGUCAUGAUAGCAGUUGUUGUUUCCAGUGGACUGGAAGCUCCAGCACUGACUCUGCUGCUGCCACAGAUGGAGAGGGACCAGGACAGGCCUGUGAGGGACCAGGAACAACCAGAAGAAGGACUCUGCCAGCUGAUGUGCCAUCAAUGUGGGCCAAGGAAAUACACAGGUGAACUUCUGGGGGUGGAGUACCUUUACCAGCAAACUGGUAAAGUUCUCCAAGAUUACAGACAGGCUGUUGAAGAGUCGGAGACAAUGGACAUGGAGAUUGAAGACAGCUUCAAUGAACCUGAAGAGUUUUAAGACUUCACUGUGGCCACUUUGGAGCCAGUGAGGACCUUCACAGUCUCUUGAACAUCAUCUUUGGCACCCACCAGCAGUCUGUCAACUCCAGACCCUCAGCCUGGCCCCUCUCGGUCUCCUCCUCCUCCUCCUGAGGGUCCUUCAACGACCUCCAAAACAGAUCUGCCAGCAACCCCUCAACAGUUGGACUCUUCAUGUGACGAUUCUGUCGGCCCUGACAACGUGGAGGGUUAUGGGGCCGUGCAGGAGCUGGCUGAUUUCUUGGUCGGCCUCCGGCACAAUAACCUUGUGGUGACUGCAGAGGAGUCAAACCGGAUCGUUUCCCUGUGGCAGUCAUUGGGGGAUUAUGACAAACAAAAAACGGUUUACUCCCAGCGUCACCAAGCCCACCUGAAGCAGGGUAGAUUUAGAGCAACCAAAAAAAUUGUAGCCCCCGGCGUCGAAAGCACAAAAAGGUGAGUAGACAAAAAACACACAAGAGCUGAGCCACCAAAAGAAGUGACACAAAACAAAAUGUUUGGCUUUAAAAUAAUACUUUAAAUCAUAUAUCCUUGUUUUUUUGUCCUUGCUUUUCCCCCUCUUUU